CCUACGGGAGGCAGCAGUGAGGAAUAUUGGUCAAUGGACGCAAGUCUGAACCAGCCAUGCCGCGUGCAGGAAGACGGCGCUAUGAGUUGUAAACUGCUUUUGUACGAGGGUAAACGCAGAUACGCGUAUCUGUCUGAAAGUAUCGUACGAAUAAGGAUCGGCUAACUCCGUGCCAGCAGCCGCGGUAAUACGGAGGAUUCAAGCGUUAUCCGGAUUUAUUGGGGUUAAAGGGUGCGUAGGCGGUCGGAUAAGUUAGCGGUGAAAUCCCGGGGCUCAACUUCGGAAUAGCCUCUGAUACUGUUCGGCUAGAGAGGAGUUGCGGUAGGCGGAAUGUAUGGUGUAGCGGUGAAAUGCUUAGAGAUCAUGCAGAACACCGAUUGCGAAGGCAGCUUACCAAGCUACUUCUGACGUUGAGGCACGAAAGCGUGGGGAGCGAACAGGAUUAGAUACCCUUGUAGUC
rnacentral:rRNA from 1 species